rnacentral:rRNA from 1 species
GUAGCGAAAUUCCUUGUCGGGUAAGUUCCGACCUGCACGAAUGGCGUAACGACUUCCCCACUGUCUCGACCAGGAGCUCGGCGAAAUUGCAGUACGAGUAAAGAUGCUCGUUAAGCGCAGAAGGACGAAAAGACCCCGGGACCUUUACUAUACCUUGGUAUUGGCGUUAGGCGCGGAUUGUGUAGCAUAGGCGGGAGGCUUCGAAGCGUGGGCGCCAGCUCAUGUGGAGCCGCAAGGUGAAAUACCGCUCUGUUCUCGUUUGACGUCUAACCUCGACAAGUCAUCCUUGUCAGGGACAGUGCCUGGCGGGUAGUUCAACUGGGGCGGUUGCCUCCCAAAGAGUAACGGAGGCGCUCAAAGGUCCGCUCAGCCCGGUUGGCAAUCGGGUGUCGAGUGUAAUCGCACAAGCGGGCUUGACUGCGAGGACGACGGUCCGAGCAGGGACGAAAGUCGGAGAUAGUGAUCCGGUGCCGGCGCACGGGCGCGGCAUCGCUCAACGGAUAAAAGGUACCCCGGGGAUAACAGGCUGAUCAUUCCCAAGAGUCCAUAUCGACGGGAUGGUUUGGCACCUCGAUGUCGGCUCGUCGCAUCCUGGGGCUGGAGCAGGUCCCAAGGGUUCGGCUGUUCGCCGAUUAAAGCGGCACGCGAGCUGGGUUCAGAACGUCGUGAGACAGUUUGGUCUCUAUCCUCUGCGCUCGUUGGAAUCCUGAGGAGGCCUGCCCAUAGUACGAGAGGACCUGGGUGGACGAACCUCUGGUAUGCCGGUUGUCGCGCCAGCGGCACGGCCGGUUGGCUACGUUCGGGAGGGAUAACCGCUGAAAGCAUCUAAGCGGGAAGCCUGCUCCAAGAUUAGGAUUCCGUACGGUCUUGAACCGUUGUAGCCCGCAUGUUGAACACGUGUUUGAUAGGCCGGAGGUGGAAGCCCCGCGAGGGGUGGAGCCGACCGGUACUAACGGGCGAACGCGGCA